CUAGGAUUGAAGACAGAAGAACCAAAGAAGAGGACAGACGAAGCGCCGGAGCCAGAGACGAGAGAUAAGCCAGGGACGAAGACGGACGAGACGCCGGCACCAGAAAUGCAUCCACAUGUGGAGUCAGAGCAGACAUGGAUGUCGCUGGGUUAUCCGGAGUCGGGACGGAUGUGGUCGGUGCCAGACCACCAGGAAAUGAAGCAGACGUGGUUGGUGCCAGACCACCAGUAACCGAGGCAAUUGUGGUCGGAGCCGGACCACCAGGCACCGAGACAGACAGGACUGAGGCAGGCGGUGUCCGCUCGAGUCUGAGACAGGCGGCGUCCGCUCGGGUCCGUGUGGUGGAAAUUUUGCAAUAAAGGCAGAUGAGAGAGAGUUGUCCUUUUGUGCGAUUUAUUGAAAUAAUAAAGAAAAUAACAAGUAAUGAGGAAAGCAAAUAAAAAGCCAGCUGGGGAGAUCAGAACAUACACCAUGGAGGUAUAAUGCAAAGAUCACCCCGUUCUGAGGUUGUCUCUGCCUUUUAACCUCUCUCCCGGGACCUGGUGGAAUCUUCCUAUCACACUGUGGGUUAAGAUGUUUACAUUACACAGAGAAUACACAAGGUCUACAGCCUUGGGUCUGGUGGGGCAUCAGAUAGAAAGGAGCCAGAGACCAGGGGUAAAAGGCAGACACAAGCCAUAAACAAUCGGUCAGUCAAACACAACAUUAGAUGUCAGCACUUAAUGUGCGACAGAACCUUGAGAGGAAGAUAGAUUGUUUGUCGAAUAAUGUUCAGUUCUGGGUCUAAUCAACAAGUACAGAAUGCAUGGUUAUUAUACAGAGUCAGAAAUGAACACAAGAGCAUUAAAGUACAAUUUUUCCAUUACAGUCCGCCACAGGGAACAGGGCUAUGAACGGCCUCCUCUUUGGAGCCCAAGAACACAGAAUGGAGACAGAAUGGAGACCUGGCUUGGCAGAACGGGUGAUGUGAGGAGCUCGGCCACUACGCCCAUCCAACAAGCAGAGGAAAGAAUCCUAGCAGCCAGGGAGCCCACACACCUUCAGUUCCAGGAGGGCAGGUGUUGCGACCCAAGCCGCCCACACAGAACCCCCCAGGCAGAGCUGCAACAGCCACAGAGACAGCACCCAAGGUCAGAUUGGGCCACCGUGGGUCAGCGCUGUCCGCCCCAUGAGAACAAGGGGCAAACACUCCCCCCAGUCGGAGGGCCAGCCUGAGAGAAUGGAGCCCGAGGACCCAUGGUCCGCAGGGAGCCCGUUAGGAGAUGCCCCCACGCCCAAAGUGGGGCCCAACCCCAGUCCAUCACCCCUACUUGAGCGGAGCGGGGCCGACCCCAUCGGCCUGACCAUAUCCCCUGGCACCAUACCGGCCUGCAGCACAAGGCCAGCAAUUGGUGGAGGUCAGCAGAAAAAAGACCACGCAGGCAAAGAAGAAGCAGAGGGCAGCGGAAAAGGCACCCUAGAACCCUGCAACCCAGCUUGGAUGUUUUUGUGGAACUAAAGUGCACUGAAAGUGAGGGACACCUCCAGGACCUCGACCGCUGGCUGACGGUGUGAUACCCCGGACAGUGUCCCCCCCACCCUAAAUUUCUUUUUUGCAUUUAUGGUGCAGUGGUGGUGAUCUCUCCCCCAGGGCCAGUGGGCGAGGCCACAACAGCCCCAGGCCCCAGUGAAAGAGCCCAACCCCGGCCAAAAAUGUAUGUGUAUGUGGCUAAGUAUGAGGAACUUUGGGAGAUCGCCAGUUUCCCGAGGGGUCCAGCAGACAGAGCCAUCAAUGUGAAGGCUCCGUCCACUGGCCGCCCCGGAGGGAGCCCCCAAAUUCCUGGACGAGUGUGUAUG
ensembl:lncRNA